rnacentral:sRNA from 1 species
UUGACAGCCCUGGAGACCAAAGUCUUUCAUUUCUAUUCGCAGAACAAACACAGCACGGGCAGCAGCAGCACAAACUCCUCACGGCUGUCAGCAAUUCUGUAUGUAUCGGCGGGAACUUCCCGCAGCAUCUUCGCACGCUUGCAGCUCUCAGAUGGAAGGCAGGUUCCCUAACAUUUUUCAUACCACAAAGCCACU